rnacentral:rRNA from 1 species
AUUGAACGCUGGCGGCAGGCCUAACACAUGCAAGUCGAACGAGUGGCGGACGGGUGAGUAAUGUCUGGGAAACUGCCCGAGGGAGGGAGAUAACUACUGGAAACGGUAACAAAUACUGCACACCAUCGGAUGUGCCCAGAUGUGAUUAGCUAGUAGGGGGGGGAACGGCUCACCUAGGAGACGAUCCCUAGCUGGUCUGAGAGGAUGACCAGCCACACUGGAACUGAGACACGGUCCAGACUCCUACGGGAGGCAGCAGUGGGGAAUAUUGCACAAUGGGCGAAAGCCUGAUACAGCCAUGCCGCGUGUGUGAAGAAGGCCUUCGGGUUGUAAAGUACUUUCAGCGGGGAGGCGUUACUCGCAGAAGAAGCACCGGCUAACUCCGUGCCAGCAGCCGCGGUAAUAC